CCUUACCUGGUCUUGACAUCCACGGAAUUUGGCAGAGAUGCCUUAGUGCCUUCGGGAACCGUGAGACAGGUGCUGCAUGGCUGUCGUCAGCUCGUGUUGUGAAAUGUUGGGUUAAGUCCCGCAACGAGCGCAACCCUUAUCCUUUGUUGCCAGCGGUCCGGCCGGGAACUCAAAGGAGACUGCCAGUGAUAAACUGGAGGAAGGUGGGGAUGACGUCAAGUCAUCAUGGCCCUUACGACCAGGGCUACACACGUGCUACAAUGGCAUAUACAAAGAGAAGCGACCUCGCGAGAGCAAGCGGACCUCAUAAAGUCUCUCUAUCCGGAUUGGAGUCUGCAACUCGACUCCAUGAAGUCGGAAUCGCUAGUAAUCGUGGAUCAGA
rnacentral:rRNA from 1 species